UGAUAUGAUUAUUUGCCAUCACCCAAAUCUCAUUUACCACUCUCUCUCUCCCUCUCUCCCAGACUGGUAUUGGAUUUGCUUCUCUUACCCAUGGCGACAAUCAGCAUCGCUUCUGUUUCGAUCUCAGGUGGAUCCCAUCUCAAAUCACAUGAACUUUGGUCCACAAAGUGCAAUUCACUUGGUAAUACAUCAAGAUUGACAUAUAAAAGGAAAUCCAACCAACUACAAACCAACCACAACCUGUCUGUCCGUGCGGAGUACAA